rnacentral:rRNA from 1 species
GACGAACGCUGGCGGCGUGCUUAACACAUGCAAGUCGAACGAAGUGGCGGACGGGUGAGUAACGCGUAAUCAACCUGCCCUUCAGAGGGGGACAACAGUUGGAAACGACUGCUAAUACCGCAUACUGAAGGAGGGGAUUGCGUCUGAUUAGCUAGUUGGAGGGGUAACGGCCCACCAAGGCGAAGAUCAGUAGGCGGGCUGGGGGGGUGGACCGCCACAUUGGGACUGGGACAAGGGCCAGACUCCCUCGGGGAGGAAGAGGGGGGGAAUUUCCGGAAAUGGCGGAAAGCCUACCGAGCAAAGGCGGGGUGGGUGUGGAGGGCUUCGGGUUGUUAAGCCUUGUUUAUUGGGGAGCGGUACCGGAAUAGAAAGCCACGGCUAACUACGUGCCAGCAGCCGCGGUAAUAC